AUACGGAGGGUGCAAGCGUUAAUCGGAAUUACUGGGCGUAAAGAGUACGUAGGCGGCCUAUUAAGUCAGAUGUGAAAGCCCAGGGCCCAACCUUGGAACUGCAUUUGAAACUGGUAGGCUAGAGUAUGGUAGAGGGGGGUAGAAUUUCUGGUGUAGCGGUGAAAUGCGUAGAUAUCAGAAGGAAUACCAGUGGCGAAGGCGGCCCCCUGGCCCAAUACUGACGCUGAGGUACGAAAGCGUGGGUAGCGAACGGGAUUAGAAACCCCGGUAGUCC
rnacentral:rRNA from 1 species